rnacentral:rRNA from 1 species
AUGGGCUAUUCUGAGACUGAGUCCCUUGCCAUUGCUAACAGGCUCAAUUGCCGCCUUGGAUCCUUCCGCACGACCUACUUGGGAACGCCCAUUAGCGACUCUCGGCUCACCGUCGCGGACCUCCGACCGACCGUGUCCAAGCUUCAGACACGUAUCAAACCUUGGCAGGGUAGGUGGUUGUCAAAGGCGGCUCGGACUAUUCUCAUAAACUCAUCCCUCUCCAGUCUCCUCUUGUUUCUUAUGAGCUUCUACAGCCUGCACGAGACUCUGCACCAUGAGAUCGCCAAAAUCCAGUCCCGCUUCUAUUGGGCUGGCGACAACAAUAAGCAGAAAUAUCAUAUGGUCAGCUGGCCUGACAUCUGCAAGCCCAGGGAACAAGGCGGCCUCGGUAUCAUGUGCUCCAAGCGCAUGAAUAUCACCCUCCUAUCCCGCUGGCUCUGGCGCAUCUCGCAAGGCCAGGGUGGUCUCUGGCUCGAUAUCAUCCGGAGCAAGUACCUGCGUGGACAACCCCUUGCCUUUUGUCAGAGAACUGGCGGCUCGCAGUUCUGGCAGUCGGUCGUCCAGCUUCUCCCAGUCCUUCGCAUCGGGACUUCCAUCUCGGUGGGGUCCGGCACGGAGACUUUGUUUUGGUUUGACCGGUGGGCCAGAGACUCCCCCUUCGUUGCGCGCUUCCCCGACCUCUUCUCCAUAGUGGUAGACCCCUUGAUCUCAGUUGAGAGGGCCCUUAUUGACUUAGUGUGCCUUGCUUUCCGGAGGCCCUUUGGCCCCCCUGAGUCCGCCGCUUGGCGUGAGUUACUAGAUUGUGUGGCUCUCCACGAACCUGUGGUGGACGGUGGCCCGGACCAGGUGAGAUGGCGGCUCGAGCCAUCGGGCCAAUUCUCCACUAAGUCUCUCUACCAUGCCAUCGCCCCCUCCUCCGCCCCUCCCCCCUUGCGACGGUGUGGUCCAUCCGCUUGCCUCUGA